GCCAUCUCGGCUCUAAUUCUCCACUCUGUCGCCCGUCCUCCGCAUUGGUACGUGAGCCGUAAUGGCUUCCGUUGCGCCGGGGUCUCGCAGGCAUUAUGGGAUAAGGGCGGAAUUGUAGCGGUUUCCGGAUUCCCUGGAUUGGCCUGCUGGGAAGAAAGAAAACUAGGGAGGUGGGAAAAAAACUCCAGGGUUUUGAGUUUUAUCACGCGUUUAUAACAGUUGUAUCAUCAGGCAGGAGCAUCAUGUCGCAUGGAGAAAAAGGAAAGUUCCCUGAUGCUGCAGGAUAUGUGGGAUUUGCCAACCUGCCCAAUCAGGUUCACAGGAAGUCUGUGAAGAAAGGCUUUGAGUUUACACUGAUGGUUGUAGGAGAGUCUGGUCUUGGCAAAUCAACCCUGAUCAACAGCCUCUUCCUGACUGACCUCUACCCAGAGCGCUAUAUACCUGGAGCGGC